AGCGAACGCUGGCGGCAGGCCUAACACAUGCAAGUCGAACGAGCCUUCGGGCUAGUGGCGGACGGGUGAGUAACACGUGGGAGCGUACCUUUAGGUUCGGAAUAACUCAGGGAAACUUGAGCUAAUACCGGAUGUGCCCUUCGGGGGAAAGAUUUAUCGCCUUUAGAGCGGCCCGCGUUAGAUUAGCUAGUUGGUGGGGUAAUGGCCCACCAAGGCUACGAUCUAUAGCUGGUCUGAGAGGAUGAUCAGCCACACUGGGACUGAGACACGGCCCAGACUCCUACGGGAGGCAGCAGUGGGGAAUCUUGCGCAAUGGGCGAAAGCCUGACGCAGCCAUGCCGCGUGAAUGAUGAAGGUCUUAGGAUUGUAAAAUUCUUUUAGCAGGGACGAUAAUGACGGUACCUGCAGAAAAAGCCCCGGCUAACUUCGUGCCAGCCGCCGCCGUAAAAC
rnacentral:rRNA from 1 species